UACAGAGGUCCCGAGCGUUGUUCGGAUUCAUUGGGCGUAAAGGGCGCGUAGGCGGCUUUGCAAGUGGCGGGUGAAAUCCCUCGGCUUAACCGAGGAACUGCCUGUCAAACUGCAUGGCUUGAGACCGGGAGAGGUGAGUGGAAUUCCCAGUGUAGCGGUGAAAUGCGUAGAUAUUGGGAGGAACACCAGUGGCGAAGGCGGCUCACUGGACCGGUACUGACGCUGAUGCGCGAAAGCGUGGGGAGCAAACAGG
rnacentral:rRNA from 1 species